rnacentral:lncRNA from 1 species
UGGAUGCAUCAUUAUAUAACAAACCUGGAAAUACUCUGGGGCUUCCAGUUGGGAGAAGCUAGAAACCAACAGCUUGUCUCCCACCCACAGAGUGGACUGCCAGGAACACAGUGAAGCCAUGUCUGUUUUCAUUUGCCAUUUUAGCUAUGGCAACAAGCAAUGUCCCCAGCACAUGGGAUGAUUUUGCUGGAUCUUGGAUAUCAAAGUAUAAAACCAUGGACUGGCAGGUUCUUACCCAUGAGCUUUGGGUGGCUCUGACACAUGAUGAGUGGUCAUGUGAGGAUGAUGCAAUCAUUUUCUCUGACUUUGGCCUCUGCCUUUUCUGGAUGAAUUUGACACUGAAGGCUUCAUUUGAAGACGAGGCUGUGGAGGCCAACUUAACCAUCCUGCCUUUUCUAAGCAUCAUGCUCUGGGUCUUACUAAAGGCCCAACCAAAGCUGUAAUCCCAAAGUCUUGGUUUGUGGCCUGGGGAAAUGGCUCAGUGAAUGAAGUGUUGGCUGUACAAGCAUGAGGACCUGGCUUUAGAACCUCAAGACCCACAGAAAAGCCAUGUUUUGUGGCUACCAUCCUACCAUUCUACCAUAUCUACCAUCUUGAUGUUGGGGAGACAGAAAGCUGGCAGAACUCUGGCGGCUGGCAGAGACUGCCCACAUGGCAGUAAGGUUCAGGAGGCUUUGGUGGAAAGAUUUAUGCUGCUGGAGCCAGGCCAAAUGGACUUCUGGUUCUUGUACUGUGCUAAUCAGUGUAACUGUGGGUGUAUGCUGCCAAACUAACUGCACAACUAGAUUUUUGACUUUUUAAUGACAAUAGCGUUUUCUUCUACGGUGUCAACUAGAAUGAUAGAAUUAUUUUUGGAGAAGGGUAGAGGGCAACAACUGCAAGACAAGUGAAAAAAUUCCUUUCUCUCUGAUUUUUUCCCAUCAGUUUCAUCCCUUCUGUGGGAGCUUGGGGUGGAGGG